rnacentral:rRNA from 1 species
AUACGGAGGAUCCGAGCGUUAUCCGGAUUUACUGGGUUUAAAGGGUGCGUAGGCGGGAUAGUAAGUCAGUGGUGAAAGCCUGCAGCUUAACUGUAGAAUUGCCAUUGAUACUGCUAUCCUUGAGUAUGGUCGGAGUGGAUGGAAUUCGUCAUGUAGCGGUGAAAUGCUUAGAGAUGACGAGGAACACCAAUCGCGAAAGCAGUUCACUAGGCCAUAACUGACGCUGAGGCACGAAAGCGUGGGUAGCAAACAGGAUUAGAAACCCUAGUAGUCC